AGGGCGCACGGAGGAUGCCUUGGCACUAGGAGUCGAAGAAGGACGCGACAAACGGCGAAACGCCUCGGGGAGCUGUAAGUGAGCUUUGAUCCGGGGAUAUCCGAAUGGGGAAACCCGCUAGUGGUUAUACGCUAGCACCAUAUGGUGAAUACAUAGCCAUAUAGGAGACAGACCCAGGGAACUGAAACAUCUAAGUACCUGGAGGAAAAGAAAGAAAAAUCGAUUCCCGUAGUAGCGGCGAGCGAAGUGGGAAGAGCCCAAACCGGCACUAGCCGGGGUUGUAGGACCUUCAUAAUUGACAAAUCAUGAUAGCCGAGUGGUCUGGGAAGGCCAACCGGAGAGGGUGAGAGUCCCGUAGGUGAAAUUGUGAAAUGCAUGGAAGGAAUCCUGAGUACGGCGGGACACGUGGAAUCCCGUCGGAAUCAACGAGGACCAUCUCGUAAGGCUAAAUACUACCUAGUGACCGAUAGUGAACCAGUACCGUGAGGGAAAGGUGAAAAGAACCCCGGAAGGGGAGUGAAAGAGAACCUGAAACCGUGUGCCUACAAAUAGUCAGAGCCCGUUAAUGGGUGAUGGCGUGCCUUUUGUAGAAUGAACCGGCGAGUUACGAUAUCGUGCGAGGUUAAGCAGAAGAUGCGGAGCCGUAGCGAAAGCGAGUCUGAAUAGGGCGAAGAGUACGAUGUUGUAGACCCGAAACCGUGUGAGCUAGCCAUGAGCAGGCUGAAGGUCAGGUAACACUGACUGGAGGGCCGAACCAGGGCACGUUGAAAAGUGCUUGGAUGACUUGUGGCUAGGGGUGAAAUUCCAAUCGAACCCGGAUAUAGCUGGUUCUCUCCGAAAUAGCUUUAGGGCUAGCCUCGACUGAACAUUACCGGAGGUAGAGCACUGAAUGGGCUAGGGGCCGAGAGGUUACUGAACCCUAUCAAACUUCAAAUGCCGGAAAAUGAUAGUCGGGAGUCAGACUGCGUGAGAUAAGUUUCGUAGUCGAAAGGGAAACAGCCCAGACCCACAGCUAAGGUCCCAAAGUACGGUUAAGUGGAAAAGGAUGUGGGGUUGCACAGACAACCAGGAUGUUGGCUUAGAAGCAGCCACUCAUUAAAAGAGUGCGUAAUAGCUCACUGGUCGAGUGACUUUGCGCGGAAAAUUUAACGGGGCUAAAAUACACACCGAAGCUUGGGCUUGACGCUUUUGCGUCAGGGGUAGGGGAGCGUCGUGUAAGGGGCGAAGUCGUAUCGUAAGGGACGGUGGACUUUACACGAGUGAGAAUGCCGGAAUGAGUAGCGAGAAUUAUGUGAGAAUCAUAAUGGUCGAAAGCCUAAGGUUUUUGGAGGAAGGUUCGUCCGCUCCAAGUAAGCCGGGAGCUAAGGUCAGGCGGAAACGCGUAGCCGAUGCACAUACGGUUGAAAUUCCGUAGCCUCAGAAAGAUUUAAGCGAAGGGACACUUUGAAAGGACUGUUGCCGGGUGUUGGUUACCCCGGUCGUAAGGGAACGAAAUUAAGUAGUGAAGGCAGUCUGGACGGAGGCGAGAAAAGCUUCGUGUAUAUCUUAUGAGCCCGUACCGCAAACCGACACAGGUAGGUGGGAUGAGAAUUCUAAGACCAACGGGAGAAGGGUAGUUAAGGAACUCGGCAAAUUGACCCCGUAACUUCGGAAUAAGGGGAGCCUGCGAAAGCAGGCCGCAGAGAAUUGGCCCAGGCGACUGUUUAUCAAAAACACAGCUCUAUGCUAAAUCGAAAGAUGACGUAUAUGGGGUGACACCUGCCCGGUGCUGGAAGGUUAAGAGGAGAUGUGAGAGCAUCGAAUUGAAGCCCCAGUAAACGGCGGCCGUAACUAUAACGGUCCUAAGGUAGCGAAAUUCCUUGUCAGGUAAGUUCUGACCCGCACGAAUGGUGUAACGAUUUGGGCACUGUCUCAACAACCCGCCCGGCGAAAUUGUAGUACCGGUGAAGAUGCCGGUUACCCGCGACUAGACGGAAAGACCCCAUGGAGCUUUACUGUAGCUUAAUAUUGGAUUUCGGCAGUUCAUGUACAGGAUAGGUGGGAGACUAUGAAACACGGGCGUCAGCUUGUGCGAUGUUCACAAGCUACCCGGCUAUCCAGAAGUUCAUCAUCAACCCGUUCUAUGAACAGCAGGGUCUCAAGAACCCCGAGCUGCCCGACUACGACGAUGACGACGAGGAAGUGCUCUUCGAGGACCGCGGCGGCGAGGAGGCUCCCAUGAAGAUAAAGAAGCAGGAUCGCGGCGGAAAGGUCAUCAAGUAAUAUGAGUAACAAGAAGAAAAAAUCGAACGGCAGGCAGGACGGCGGCCUCAUGUUCUUCGUGCCCGACCAGGGCGAGGGCGCGGCUAAGGUCAUCGUUAUAUUGCUGAAGGUCCUCAUGCUCAUCGGCACGACGAUACUCUGUCUCUGCUUCGGAAUUCUCGGUCCUAUCUGCAUCUGGAUAGGCGAGUACGACCCGGCUGUGACCGGGAAUCCCGCAAUUGUUACCUGGCUAGUGACGUCGGUAGUUUACAUUAUCGGAACCUUCGUUAUAAUGCUGGGACACUCCCGCAUUGCCUCGAUAAUCGACUGCGCGGCUUCCGUUGGCUCUCUCGUGACCUACUACCUGUUCGU
rnacentral:rRNA from 1 species